UAGAGUUUGAUCAUGGCUCAGAUUGAACGCUGGCGGCAGGCCUAACACAUGCAAGUCGAGCGGAAACGACACUAACAAUCCUUCGGGUGCGUUAAUGGGCGUCGAGCGGCGGACGGGUGAGUAAUGCCUAGGAAAUUGCCUUGAUGUGGGGGAUAACCAUUGGAAACGGUGGCUAAUACCGCAUAAUGCCUACGGGCCAAAGAGGGGGACCUUCGGGCCUCUCGCGUCAAGAUAUGCCUAGGUGGGAUUAGCUAGUUGGUGAGGUAAUGGCUCACCAAGGCGACGAUCCCUAGCUGGUCUGAGAGGAUGAUCAGCCACACUGGAACUGAGACACGGUCCAGACUCCUACGGGAGGCAGCAGUGGGGAAUAUCGCACAAUGGGCGAAAGCCUGAUGCAGCCAUGCCGCGUGUAUGAAGAAGGCCUUCGGGUUGUAAAGUACUUUCAGUUGUGAGGAAGGGGGUAGCGUUAAUAGCGCUGUCUCUUGACGUUAGCAACAGAAGAAGCACCGGCUAACUCCGUGCCAGCAGCCGCGGUAAUACGGAGGGUGCGAGCGUUAAUCGGAAUUACUGGGCGUAAAGCGCAUGCAGGUGGUUCAUUAAGUCAGAUGUGAAAGCCCGGGGCUCAACCUCGGAACUGCAUUUGAAACUGGUGAACUAGAGUACUGUAGAGGGGGGUAGAAUUUCA
rnacentral:rRNA from 1 species